GACGAACCGUGCAAACGUUGUUCGGAUUCACUGGGCUUAAAGGGCGCGUAGGCGGGGGUUCAAGUCGGUGGUGAAAUCUUUCGGCCCAACCGGAAAAUCGCCUCCGAUACUGGAUCUCUUGAGGGGGGUAGGGGCAUGCGGAACUUCGGGUGGAGCGGUGAAAUGCGUAGAUAUCCGAAGGAACGCCGGUGGCGAAAGCGGCGUGCUGGACCCUUUCUGACGCUGAGGCGCGAAAGCCAGGGGAGCAAACGGG
rnacentral:rRNA from 1 species